rnacentral:lncRNA from 1 species
CCUGUAAGAGCUGGGUAUCCUUUAUGAACUGGGCUAUCCUGUAUGAACUGGGGUAUCCUGUAUGAGCUGGGUAUUCUGUAUGAGCUGGGAUAUCCUUUAUGAGCUGGGGUAUCCUGUAUGAGCUGAGUAUCCUUUAUGAGCUGAGCUAUCCUGUAUGAACUGGGGUAUCCUGUAAGAGCUGGGUAUCCUUUAUGAACUGGGGUAUCCUGUAUGAGCUGGGUAUUCUGUAUAAGCUGUGAUAUCCCUUAUAAACUAGGGUAUCCUGUAUGAACUGGGGUAUCCUGUAUGAGCUGGGUAUCCUUUAUGAACUGGGGUAUCCUGUAUGAGCUGGGGUAUCCUGUAUGAGCUGGGUAUCCUUUAUGAACUGGGGUAUCCUGUAUGAGCUGGGGUAUCCUGCAUGAGCUGGAUAUCGGUUAUGAGCUGAGCUAUUUUGUAUGAACUGGGGUAUCCUGUAUGAGCUGGGGUAUCCUUUAUGAACUGGGGUAUCCUGUAUGAGCUAGGGUAUGCUGCAUGGGCCUGGUAUCCUGUAUGAGCUGGGGUACGCUGUGAGACCUGGGUACCCUGUAAGAUCUGGGGUGCCCUCUGCAAGCUAGGGUAACAAAUGGACCCGUGUGUGUUCUGAGGACUGUAGAGGUUUAUCCCUCUCAGGUAAAAAUCCACAGGAAUAUUCCAGCCCCACAAGUGGCUCUGCUCCAACGAAGUCAUUCAAGAAGCAGGCUCUGUCCAAGUUGUGAGAUCCUUUUUCUGUCUUUCCCUAUGGCAAUGUCUAUCUCUGCAUGGCCAGAAGUUUUCAUCAAGAAAGCAGGGAGAGGGUGUGGAUGAGACACAUCCAUAGGUUAAGAGCUAGGUGUGGCGGUGCAUCGGGCUUCCUCUCCCGUUCCACUGAGGAGUGCGUAGUCACCGACCACUCCCAGCUGUGGAAAGCAGGCACCGCAGUCCAGAUUUGUGAUUGGGAAGAAGGCAGGGCAGAUCUGAUGGAUCUCUAGCAGUUUCCCCUCAGUAACCAUCUCUCUAGUGCCUAAGAAAUGGUGCCUGAUGGUUCAUUCAUUGUAGCAUUAUUUUUAAUACUAGAUUUAUUUUAAAUUCAGACUGUGUUAUAUGUUAUAAUACCUUUAUUUUAUACUGGAAGCAAGCGUCAAUGUAGGAGAGUCUUGAAACCCAGCACCAGAUAGUGGUUGCUAAUCCCAGUCUUCCAUACAAGGAUCCCGGGUUCUGUGAAGAAAUGCUUAAUUCUGGGACUGGGAGGGGAGUAAACAAGAUGAGCCUGGAGCAGAAAGCAAGGAAGUGUCCAAACCAAGCCAAACCAAAACACCCAGGAUGCCGCCAUAAUGGGGACAUUUUAAAGGGACAUAGGAGGCAAUGGAAAGAACCCCCAGUGGCUAAAGCUAGAGCAAUUUGAGCAACAAAGUAAGAUAGCAUUGGAAAAUAACUCAAAGUAUAGAGCCAGCCUAUUCUGAUAGAAAUGACUGAGGAAAUAAAUAAUUGGAGGGAGAGUGACAAGUUUUCUGUGCAGACUUCCAAAUAACUUAUGUAGAUCCCCUGCCCUUGAAGAGGGGAAGCACAGCUCCCCACUUUGGCCACGUGGGCUGCUCAUAAUGACUUCUUCCAAAAGGUAUGGAAAGGGGUAAGGCAGUUUUACAGUGGAGAAACCUGGCAGACACUGCUUCAGCCAGGUCAUCACGUUUAACCAUGCUCGGUUACGUUGACCCGAUGCACCCUUGAUGGGAUGGGAUGAAAGCGCUCGACCUCCAUCACAGGUGCAGUCUCCACUCAACCCACUAUGAGAAAAACAUCAAACUCCAAUUCUUCAGUGUUCCUGCCGGUCCUCCUCAGAACAGCCAAGGUCAAGGUCAUUCAACACAGGAAAGUCUGAGAAUCCAUCACCACCAAGAGGAGUCUAAGGAGAACUGAGGAUUGAGGGCCAUGGGGUGUCCCGGCUGGGGUCCGGGGUAGAGACGGAUUUUAGGUAAAGACUAGAGAACCCCGAAUAAAGCGUGGGCUUCAGUGAAGCACUCCUGUGAGUCAGUACUGCUCUGUGAACUGGGGCGGAUGCACAGAGGAACACGAUCUAAUAAUGGGAAAAGAGGAGAUGGGGUGUGGGCUAUGUAGGAACUCUGUGCUAUCUUUACAAUUUUUCUACAAGUUCAUUAUUUUAAAAUUAAAAAUUUAGGAAGAAAAACAACAACAAAAACAUUCCCAGGGGAUUCCAUUGUCCAGUGGGCAUUAGAAUGUUGUUGUUGUUGUAAUUUGUUUAUUGUCACGUUAGCCAUUAUUUAUUAUUAUGUCACAUAUGUGAGACCACAAGGGCUGCUCCCCGCAUACCGGUGGCCCCCCCAGUUAGCUGCCUUGGGGAGGGGAGGAAGACCACCAGAGCCCAGGGUGGGGGCGAGGCGGCUCCCGGAGGCUCCCCUGCCCCUCCCAGUCCUCACCUCCUCCUCCCUGAGUGGCCUGGUGGGAUGGAAGGUGUCUGUGGCCGGCUGCCCAGAACACCAAGAAGGGCCCUCUUCCUCCUUGAACUUGAGCCAGCCCCUGGCGUCUUUCUCGGGGCCAGAGCUUUGCCUCUAAAUGGUCUUUGUUUGCAGACGAUCUGCUGUGCAGAUCAUGAACCGUCGCCGCAGUGCCAGACAGACUCUUCAUCCGGACCGGCCGUCCCACUGGGUCCCCUCAGGAAAGCGCAGAAGCCGGGGACCCCAAACCGCGUCCAGCUCCUCCCACCCGCCCUUCUCGGAGCCGCGCACUUGGUAACUUGCGUGUGAAGAACUCACGGCCGUGUUGCCAGGAAACUGCGGGGAGCAGCCUUUGUGGUCUCACAUAUGCGUAACAUAAUAAUAAAUAACGGUUAACGUGAUAAUAAAUAAACAAAUAACAAUAAUUAUAACGUGCCCCAAGCCUGUUGUUUCUCCAAAAUUAAUUUAUGAUGAAUUACGACUCGAAUUCCUCGGAACAUACCAGUGGGAAGAGGAGAGGGGGCUAUUUUAUUUGCCACUGGGCUCAGAGUAGGGUUAAGAACUGUCUUUCCCUGAGCCAGACCUUGUCCCAGGUCCCUGGUAACCCAGGGAAGGUCGCCAGAGAGGAAUUCUCUCUUUCCCUCUGCUUCUCACAUCUCCUCCUCUGCCUAGGACAGUGAAGUUUUUUAGAUACUUUACUUGCAUUUCUAAUUCAGUUAUUCUUCUGAAAUUUAUUCAAAGGAUUUAUGCUUAUGAAAUUAUAAUAUAAUGCUGCCUAUAUGCCAAUGAGCUGGAGGCAAAGAAAAUAAUUUUCUUCAAUUUACAGUUAUGAGGCUGGAGGAAAAUGAUGCCUUCUUAUCACCUCUUUCUCUUUGUAUGUCUCGGUAUUUUUUUAAGUCUUCAGAAGGCAGGAGCUGAUGAUGAAUUCUUAAGCAGAUCACACUGAUAAUUGUAUUUCAGAGCUGUCAGCGCUGGGAAGACUGGCCAGCGACUGUCUCCAUGCACUUGAGCUAUUUGUGUCGCUGCCUUCCUUCUCAGGAACUCAGCCCUCAAUAAAGCCAACUCGCUGGGGAUAUUGUUAAAUCGUCUGAGAGGAUUAUUAGAUCGAAGGGAAAUUUAUGGAUGACACUUUGUAACAAUUAAUCAGGAACUGUUGAUGAAGUUUAAGUUGGUUCUUUAUUCCUGGACCAAAAAAAUAUAUAUAUACGUAUAUAGAUGUGUGUGUAUAUAUAUAUAUACACACACACAUAUAUAAAAUCAUAAUAAUAUUCAGCCCUUGUUCCAAUUGUCAAAUGGCUCAUUUUGUCACUCUGUUUGAUUAAUGAACCUUUUGGAGUCCCCCAAAAGUCCUAGUAAUACAAAUAAAGAGAAUCAUAAAUAUUGAAUAAGCUCACAGCACAGUUAACCUUGACUACAUUUUGGGACAUACUUGGAGAAACUUUGCUAUACGGAAAAUAAAUUGCUGUGGGGAUUAAAAAAAUAUGCACACCCAUACCAAAUUGGAGAUUUUGGAGAAUGUCACCUCUCUGACCUUGUCACUCUUAAUAAUCUGUUGUGAUUAAUUAGUUUAGUUAGCUUUACAAUCAGGUCAGCAGAGCGCCGGCAUGCUGGCGUGUUUUACCGAUGGGUCCCUGCCCAGCCCAGAAAGGGAUGCGGGCUGGGGUGAGGGAGGGUCUGGAGCUAAUGGGGCUGGUGUUCUAACCUCACAAGGUACUAAACGAGGGUGAUGGGUGAGGACGAUUUCAGGUCGUAAUUUACGGAGCAGGGCCCUGGGUGGGGGCAGGGAGCCUUCAUUGUGUGUUGGUUCUUGUGUUGAGUGCACUCACCCUUCUCAGGCAAAGAUCCCCCCUCACCAGCUUGGAGCUUUUGCUGACACCCCUUCAAAGUUCUGAUUCCAGAUCUGACCAGUUAUUUGACCCAGAAAACAGAUUCUAACUAGGCUGUAAUGACUUGCAAUUUUUGAAUGUAGCAUCUAGUCCAGGGGUUAAGAUUCCAGGGUAAGAGAGAAGUGGAUUUGAGUUCUCCUCUGCCGUAUCAGAGCCGUGUGGCCCUGGGCGGUUGGCUUUGACUUUCCGAGUCUCGGUUUCCUUAUCUGUAAAAUGGAGUUUCUACAUCCUAGGAUUUUUACAAGGAUGAAGUGAAACAAUUCAAAGAAACAGCUUGGCCAAAUGUCCAGCAUGCAAUACUCUGCAGUGGGUAGGACUGUGUCGUCCUGCAAUAGAAGUUGAAGUCCUAACCCCUGAGACCUGUGAAGGUGACCACUAGGGUACGCCUUAAGCCAAUGACUGGUGUCCUUAUAUAAGAAUCUGGACACAGUCACGGGGAAGACAGCCACACAAAGCCAGAGGCAGAGAUCGGAAGAUGCAGCUGCAGGCCAAGGACGGCCAGAAUUCACGGAGCCGAAGCGCCGGAGAAGCCAGGAAGGAUCUUCCCACAGAGCCUUCGGAGGGGCGGGGCCCUGCCGACACCUGGGUUUUGGAUUUCUAGUCUCUAGGACUGUGAGAAUACAUUUCCGCCGCUUCCAGCCAUGUUUUCCGUCAUUUGUGAAGGCAGCCUUUGGAAACUGAUACGUGCUGUAGGGUCACUGUGAUCUGGUUUGCAGGGAACAAGUAAGGUGGGGCUGAGGACUUGGCCUGAUGUGCCUGGCACUCGGUUUCUUGCUCCCCCUGAAUAGUCCUGAUCAUGCCAGCUGCCGCCCCACGCAGGCUGAGCGCCGCGAAGGCCGGGAUGCCGCUUCUCGCGUAUGGGUGAGGAGCCGUGGUUCGUUCAGUUCAGCAGAGCGCCAUCGCCGCCCCUGAAGUCCAGCUCUUAGGAUCAGCGCUCAGAACCCCAGACUCUGUGACGUCGUUGUAGAUGCAAAGUUGUCUCUGGUACAGGCCAAAGUGAUUCAUUUCAUGACUUUCCCGCAGGUCAUUGCAGAUCGCCACCUUCUGCCAAAGGUUUUCACCGACUCUCUGGUCCGACGAGGAACGCUGCUGAGCCUGACUCUAGCAGGAGGAAUAUGAGCCACAAUUGUAUGAAAAUCUUUCCUGGACACCUUCGGAUAAGAUGAAAUAAACUUGGAGAAUGGCAUCUGUGUUGGAAGAAAGUUCUGGACUCCACAGUGGCUUGCUCCAGAAAAGCCAAACCAUCAGCUCUCUUGACAGCACAGAGAAUGCCAGUGUGUGGGAAACAGACCGCGGUCACCCUGAGCGGCAAGGGGCUUUCCAGUGCUUAGGCUCUGAAUGUGAAACAUUUUAGAAAGAGAUGAAACAAUUUUUUUCGCUUGUAUUUUCCUAUGUGUUUGAAGGUCGAUAGAUGAUAAAAAUGUGUCUGAAUAAGUCUGAUUUAGUCUCAAAGAUCUCUUUCAAUAAACCUAAACAUUUCAAACAGA